UACGGGGGGGGCAAGCGUUGUUCGGAAUUACUGGGCGUAAAGGGCUCGUAGGCGGCCAACUAAGUCAGACGUGAAAUCCCUCGGCUUAACCGGGGAACUGCGUCUGAUACUGGAUGGCUUGAAUUCGGGAGAGGGAUGCGGAAUUCCGCGUGUAGCAGUGAAAUGCGUAGAUAUGCGGAGGAACACCGAUGGCGAAGGCAAUCCCCUGGGCCUGCACUGACGCUCAUGCACGAAAGCGUGGGGAGCAAACAGG
rnacentral:rRNA from 1 species